rnacentral:rRNA from 1 species
UACAGAGGGUGCAAGCGUUUAAUCGGAAUUACUGGGCGUAAAGGGCUCGUAGGUGGCCAACUAAGUCAGACGUGAAAUCCCCUCGGCUUAACCGGGGAACUGCGUCUGAUACUGGAUGGCUUGAGAUUGGGAGAGGGAUGUGGAAUUCCAGGUGUAGCGGUGAAAUACGUAGAGAUUGGGAAGAACACCAGUGGCGAAGGCGGCUAUCUGGACGGUUUCUGACGCUAAGACGCGAAAAGCGUGGGGAGCAAACAGG